CCUACGGGGGGCAGCAGUGGGGAAUAUUGGACAAUGGGGGGAACCCUGAUCCAGCGACGCCGCGUGAGCGAAGAAGUAUUUCGGUAUGUAAAGCUCUAUCAGCAGGGAAGAAAGAAAUGACGGUACCUGACUAAGAAGCCCCGGCUAAAUACGUGCCAGCAGCCGCGGUAAUACGUAGGGGGCAAGCGUUAUCCGGAUUUACUGGGUGUAAAGGGAGCGUAGACGGCGAUGCAAGUCUGAAGUGAAAGGCGGGGGCCCAACCCCCGGACGGCUUUGUAAACUGUAUGGCUGGAGUGCAGGAGGGG
rnacentral:rRNA from 1 species